CACCGCGGUUAUACGAGGGGCCCCAGCUGAUAAACACGGCGUAAAGGGUGGUUAAGGGAACAAAACUUUUAAAGCCAAAGGGCCUCUUGGCCGUCAUACGCUCCUAAGUGUCCGAAGCCCAACAAACGAAAGUAGCUUUAACAUAACCUGCCUGACCCCACGAAAGCUAAGAAA
rnacentral:rRNA from 1 species